ACUGAACGCUGGCGGCAUGCCUUACACAUGCAAGUCGAACGGCAGCGGACCUUCGGGUGCCGGCGAGUGGCGAACGGGUGAGUAAUAUAUCGGAACGUACCUUUCAGUGGGGGAUAACGUAGCGAAAGUUACGCUAAUACCGCAUAUUCUGUGAGCAGGAAAGCAGGGGAUCGCAAGACCUUGCGCUGAUUGAGCGGCCGAUAUCAGAUUAGCUAGUUGGUGAGGUAAAGGCUCACCAAGGCGACGAUCUGUAGCGGGUCUGAGAGGAUGAUCCGCCACACUGGAACUGAGACACGGUCCAGACUCCUACGGGAGGCAGCAGUGGGGAAUUUUGGACAAUGGGCGCAAGCCUGAUCCAGCCAUGCCGCGUGGGUGAAGAAGGCCUCGGUUGUAA
rnacentral:rRNA from 1 species